rnacentral:rRNA from 1 species
UACGGAAGGCAGCAGUGGGGAAUAUUGCACAAUGGGCACAAGCCUGAUGCAGCCAUGCCGCGUGUAUGAAAAAGGCCUUCGGGUUGUAAAGUACUUUCAGUCGUGAGGAAGGUGUUAAGGUUAAUAACCUUAGCAAUUGACGUUAGCGACAGAAGAAGCACCGGCUAACUCCGUGCCAGCAGCCGCGGUAAUACGGAGGGUGCGAGCGUUAAUCGGAAUUACUGGGCGUAAAGGGCACGCAGGCGGUUAAUUAAGUUGGAUGUGAAAUCCCCGGGCUUAACCUGGGAAUGGCAUUCAAGACUGGUUAGCUAGAGUCUUGUAGAGGGGGUAGAAUUCCAUGUGUAGCGGUGAAAUGCGUAGAGAUGUGGAGGAAUACCGGUGGCGAAGGCGGCCCCUGGACAAAGACUGACGCUCAUGUGCGAAAGCGUGGGGAGCAAACGAGGGAUUAGAUACC